rnacentral:snoRNA from 1 species
CCAACAUGGAUACCCUGGGAGGUCAUUUCCCCCAGGUGCUGUCCUGGUGGCACAGGGGAGCAUAGAGUUCAGCCGAGUGAUGUACAGUUCCAUUCCACAACAUUGGCGAUGAAGCUGGGCUCUCAAGCCUGUACCUGCAUAUUCCUACAGCUUCUCUGAGUCUUAUGGACAAUGACUGAGGAGACAAACCAUGCAGGGAACAGUU